UUCUAGCUCAAUUUUGACAUUUCCGGGGUACUGUACCCUCGAAAGUACGCAAACACCGACUA
ensembl:ncRNA Y39B6A.71 ncRNA